rnacentral:piRNA from 4 species
GAUAGCUCAGUUGGUAGAGCGGAGGAC